GUAGUCUGUGGUGUGGGUGACAUAAAAUGUCAUGUCUGCUGGAAAUUGUCCAAAAUGGCCGAGACAGAAACUGAUAAUAACAGUAUUGUACGGCCCGAAAAAAAUAAUAAGGGCUUAGUGACUAAUAAUGGGCCCCGUCGCGUUACCAUAUACAAAACAGAGACCGGCUUCGGUUUCAACGUUCGCGGUCAAGUUUCCGAGGGUGGGCAGUUGAGAUCGAUCAAUGGUGAACUGUAUGCACCUUUGCAGCAUGUUAGCGCAGUUCUGGAGCAAGGUGCAGCUGAGCAGGCCGGCAUACGAAAAGGGGACAGGAUCCUAGAAGUAAAUGGAGUGAAUGUAGAGGGCGCUACACACAAGCAAGUAGUUGAUCUGAUAAAGUCGGGCGGUGACUGCCUCACUCUAACAGUUAUCUCAGUCACACAAAAAGAAGCGGAGCGCCUGGAGCCAUGCGACGACGGCUCAGCGCCGGUGGGCGUGAUCGGCGGCGCCGCCAACUCGCGCGCGACGGUGUACCAGCGGUACGACUACACGGACAAGCGCUCGCUGCCCGUGUCCGUGCCCGACUACCGCGUGGUGAUGGAGCGCAACACGGGCCGCUCGUACGUCGCCUUCAACGUGCACAUGGCGGGCCGGCACCUGUGCAGCCGCCGCUACCGGGAGUUCGCGGCGCUGCACCAGCUGCUGCGCAAGGAGUUCUUGGGUUUUAACUUCCCGAAACUGCCGGGUAAAUGGCCGUUCACACUGAGCGAGCAGCAGUUAGACGCCAGAAGACGAGGUCUUGAACAGUAUUUAGAAAAGGUGUGCGCAGUCCGUGUGAUAGCGGAAUCUGACGCCGUACAGGAGUUCCUCACUGACUCCGAUGACUCCUCGAACCCCUCACCUGUGGAGCUGAAGGUGCUGGUCCCGGAGCGCGAGGUGGUGUCGGUGUCGGUGCUGAAGUCCACCAACGCGGACGACGUGUAUCGCGCCGUCUGCGAAAAGAUCGGCCUCUCCAAAUCCGUGCAGAGCUACUUCUACUUGUUCGAGAUCGUCGAGUAUAACUUCGAACGCAAGCUGCAGCCCAACGAGUGCCCGCACUCGCUGUACAUCCAGAACUACUCGACGGCGUCCAGCUCGUGCCUGGCCGUGCGCAAGUGGCUCUUCAACCCCGAGCGAGAGAUCUCCGUCGUCAAGGAGGACGACAAGGCUGCGGCCUUCAUAUUCUGGCAGGCUGUGGAGGACGUGAACCGCGGCGUGUGCGUGGCGGGCGCGCGGCUGUACCAGCUGAAGGCGCUGCAGGAGGUGCGGCGCGCGCCCGACUACCUCGCGCUGGCGCGGACUCUGCCCGGCUACGGCGACAUCGCCUUCCCGCCGGCGCGCACUGACUGCCGGGCCACGCCCGUCGUCGCCGUCACUGUUGGCUGGAAUGGCGUGAAGCUGUCGGCGUGGUGCGAAAGCGAAGGCGCGUGCGCGGGCGCGUCUGCCAGCGUGUCGUGGCGAGACGUGCGCGAGUGGCGCGCCGACGACGACGCGGCCGCCGCGCGCCUCACCUACCGCCGCCGCGAGCGCGCGCCGCGCACGCUGGCGCUCUACACGCCAUACGUAACUGUUCAACUGUCACAGUCUAGCUAGCUCUGCGAGCGUGUCGUGCGCGACGUGCGCGAGUGGCGCGCCGACGACGACGCGGCCGCCGCGCGCCUCACCUACCGCCGCCGCGAGCGCGCGCCGCGCACGCUGGCGCUCUACACGCCAUACGUAACUGUUCAACUGUCACAGUCUAGCUAUACUAAUAGCAUUAACAACUGAGUCUUAGGGCCAUAAAUCAUUUCUCUAUAUCUAUCUCGCUUGCACUUAUGGGUCUUAUGGAGCCGUCUAGUGAAGGGUGUAACAAUGAAAGACAUAUUAUCGAUAAGUAAAGUUUAUUAUCGUAUCUUGUUCACAAAAUUAAAAAAAUUAACAAUAUUUGAUUUAAUAUAAUACAUAUUUCAUAUUAUAUAAUUAUUAACUAAAUAAAAUUAAUCUUCAUCUGAGUCUUCAUCAUCAGAAUCUUCGUCUUCUGCCAAAUUUAUUAUAUAUUAGUAUCCAUAGUGCGCAACGAGUAACACAUGAAUGUAUUUAUUUAAUUGCAGUAAACACAUUUAUAGCAAAAAAAAUACGCAAUGCAAUUACAUUAGAAACCGACCAAUCAGAAUCGUCCAAAUCAUUAUUGACUCAUCAUUAGCACGUGCGCAGGUAGCCGUUUAUCGAUAAUUAGGGUGCGCAGGUAGGCGCGCUGCACAUUCCUAUCUUUUUUGACUUUUAUGACCGGACGACUCAGAUGAUAAUGCGCAUACUAUAGCUCUGCGAGCGUGUCGUGCGCGACGUGCGCGAGUGGCGCGCCGACGACGACGCGGCCGCCGCGCGCCUCACCUACCGCCGCCGCGAGCGCGCGCCGCGCACGCUGGCGCUCUACACGCCAUACUACCAAUUCCUAUGCAACUGCAUGGAUCGGAUAGCGGAGGAAGCGAACUGGGUGGACACCGGAGAAUAAAUCGCCCAACGGCACCUUCUAGAGUGUAAGUAAACCGACGGUAUUACGCCAUAGCACGCCGCCAUUUUGGAGACAUUUUUUUUAUUCCUACAGCAGCAAAAAAAUAAUAACCAACAACUUUUUUAUUGUUGUUAUUACAAUUCGUUGAAACUCAUGAUUGUUUUUUCGCCACGAAAGUUGUAACAAUUAAACGUAUAAUUUUUUAAUGAUGCAAGUUGAAAUGCAAAUCUUCCUAUUUAGUUUAAGAUAAAACAUCUUGAAAUCAUCUUUACGAAAAUUGUUAUAUUUGAGAAAAAUAGUAAUAGUUAUUUGUUACGCUUAAAAGUUAUUGAUCCUUGCAAAUUUUGAAUUAUGGAUUCUAAGAUUGAAUCACGAUUUAAAAAUAGAAUCUUGAGCAUAGAUAAAUUAGCAUUUAAAAAUAAGAGAGUGGGUUGUUCAAAAAUAGAAACUUGAGCAAUGCGAGGGAUUUAACGGAACGAGAUGUAAAUAGUUUUUAGCCUUUCAUUUUCCUUUUUAGUUGUUGUUCGGUUGUCUUCCUUUAUUUUAAUAUUUCAAUUAUCUGUUUUAACUAUUAAAAUAAAAAUUAAGUCGAAAUAUGGUAUAUACAAGUGCAAAAUCAAAUGUAUUUUGCACUUGUAUAUGUAUAUGGAAUUCACUUUCUGCACUAGAAUAUAAAACAGAGGUUUGUGUGCUGAUUUCUAUUCUCCUUGGAAGUAAUGCUUUUGACCCAGCGAUAUGAACUCUUGUAAAGUAACUUCUAGUUUUGUCUAAUAUCUAAUAACACUUCAAAACUGAGGUGAAUAUGUUUUAACCUAGUAUUUUUAAAAUUUCAUCUAUGGACUGGACUAUAGACUUUAUUAACUUUCGUGAUCGAAAGAACGAAUAUAAUAUUAUUUCGCUUUUUUAUAACAAGAUUGGGAAGAAGACGAAAGUACUUGAUUUUUACUGCUGUAAUUUUUGUGUAAAUUGUAGAGUUUUUACCAAAAUGGUGGCGUCAAGAUCCUAACUAGUGUUACGUAUCAUAUACAGGGUGUCUUUUUUUUAAAUUGACAUUAUGGUUGAAUUUUUAAAUCUCAGAAGAUUUGGUUGGACUUAAUCCGAAAAUAUACGUAUUUAUUGUUAUUUGAUAUUAUGAUGAAUAUUUAUAAGAAGUUAUUGAUAUUUCAAUCCAGUUGUAUGGAUCGUGGACAGGAUUGUAAAGGUGCGUAUAUUUUUGGGUAUGUUGAUGAACCGACGAAAAUUAUUACUUGAUUUUUGAAAAAUCAUGUAAGUAUCUUAAACUGAAAUCAAGCUUAUAGGAUUUAAAAAGCACUUCAAUAUAAGAAUUGUUAAUUUUGCAUAGUAAUGCAAAUUUUUAACAUAAAAACUAAAAAGAUUUCAUUAUUUAUUUAAAGAAUUCUCCAUGAUGUAUUAAAAUAGGACACGCUGUAUAAACAUUGUAAUUAAUGUGAUUGGUUUUUAAGAAUGAAUUAAUUAUUUAACAAUUAUUGGGAAUAUUUUAUACUAUGUCUGUGGUUUUUUUAGGGUUGCCAUGGUGACCAUGACACUGUGAUAGGUUUUUUGUGUAUUUUAUUGGUAUCUUGAAUAUUUAUGCGACAGGACAGAAGAAAAGUCGAAUUAUGAAGCUUGAAAGGCAGACUCGAUUAUGUGGUUUGCGUAUGAACAUUGAAUAAACAUUGGCACUCAUAUUUAAUUAAAUUUAUUUAUAAUUAAAGAAUUUAAUGCAAUUUGAACAAUUAAAGUAAAUUGCUUUUGGAAUUUGAGCAAUUCGCUUUAACUUUAUAAUUAUUAUUAAUGAAUGAGUUAUCUCGGACUCCGAAAUGACAAUUGAUUAGAACACGAUUAUUGUACUUACAAGAUUUUAUACAUAAUAAUGAAAUAUAUUACAAUUAAUGAAUUAAUUAUUAUUAUUCAUUAAUAUUAUUGCAGUUUUAGUAACCUUUUUAAAGACAUCAAGGUCUAAGGCACCUGUGUGUACAGUAAACUAUUAUAAUCAUUAUGUUUAGUAAGACAUAAGUGCGAAUAUCGUUUUGUCUCAUUUAUAGAGUAAGAUUACACGUUAGGUAAAUGUCGCGCGACAAAAUGUUUUCCGAUAAAUUGUCUUCACCCUACAGUAGUAAAUCUAGGUAAUUCAAGGGUGAGCUUACAAUUCUGUGAAUAUGACCACGUGUUCAUUAGCAAAAUUAAAAUCGUGAUAUUUUUUUUUUUAAGUAUAAAAAAUAUCAGAUUUGACUUUACAAAAUGUUUACUAAUGAAUACGCGGCUUAACUGAAGCCAUAUUUGACAAUUUUCACAUAAAACUAUUGUCGAAUUAAAAAAAUAUCAAUUUAAUAAUUAACCUCUAUAAUAUUAUCAUUUUAUAAGAGUAUAUUUGUUUAAACCAAUCCAUUAUCCAGUCCUUAUAUUGCUAAUAAAAAGUUUUUCAUUAGUGAAGUUAUAAAAAAAGAAGUAAAACAUACUUAAAUAUCAGUAUAUUGUAGUGUUUGUCAACAAGCAUGUACUGUUAUCGAUUAGACUAUUAAAUCAUUAAUUAAUACUGAUAGUUAUCAUAUAAUAUUUAUUGUGCGAAGUCCGUUUUGGCAUUCAAUAUAGGUACGUACUUAGCAGCUUUUUAUCGACAUCGAUGUUGUAUUAUGGAUGUACUAUAAUUUAUAUGAGGCUUUUGCUUUGGUAUUAGUGAGGUGUACAGAUAGACGUUGAUCAGGUCGUUGGUGUGAAACUGAAGUAGCGUCAGCAAACCAAAUGUAUACCACAUUUAGAAACCAGAAGGUAAAUUUGAAUAAACAAAGAAUUACAAAUCAUUUAAUUACUUUACGUACGUACUUUGUACAUCGAUCUCCUAUUAAAAAGUGGAUGCACAAUCAGCCACCAAAAAACGUCCCCACUCAAUGAGUGCCAAACACAACUUCUUGGCACUCAAUUCAAGUAGUCGCAUUUGCAAAUUCAACCUUAAACUCAAUUCUUAAUUGAAUUUGCUCUGAAUUUGGGAUUUUAUUGAAUAUUCCAACUUGUAGAAACAAAAAACUUCGAGCUAAAAGAGAUUUCCGUAUUUUUAACCAGAAAUUUUAGAACUGAUGGGCAGCAGAAAUAAGCAUAGUGGUAAUAAGUCCCAGAACGAUCUCUGUCAAGUCACGUUACAAUAACGAUCAGAGCGAAGCCCUCAUCAUUAGGACAUCUAUAACUAUUCAAAUCGAACUAAUCUCAUUAAUUAUUAACAUUUUAAUAUAAAACUUAGUUAUAAAUUGAACGGUACAUACCUAUACGCCAAUUAAACAUGACAAUUUUGACGAAAAGGUCUUCGUAUUAAAAUAAUUAUCUAAUGAUAGGAAUUUAGUGAAAAUUAAUAAAUCAUUAGCUCUUUGUAAACAAAAUAUAUCGGUAACUAAUUAAUUUUAUUGAUAAACAAUUUUAUACUUCGGUAACUAUAACUUUAAAUAUUUAUGAACAUUUCACUUUAUUUCAAUGAUGACCAAUUUUUAUUUCGUUGACUAAUUUUUUUGUUUUGGAAACAUGUCCCAAUUUUUUAUAUCGGUAAAUAAAAUGAUAAAUAAGUUUUUCUAACGAAUCAAAUAAAAAUAAACACAACUAACUGUUAAUGUUACGUUUAACGCGACUAAAUAACGCUAAUUUUAUUAAUGAAUCAUUAAAAAAAUAGGAAAUUAUUGUUAACUUUUAUUUAAAGAGGCUUCUAAAGCAGUAAAACGGACGUUGUAUGUAAAGUAAAUGAAAAAUAAAUGAAUAAAUAAUGAUUUGCAUUAACAUAUAUUUUCAUUGGCAACUAUUUUUUUCUUUUUAUUUUCGUCUGAUUUUAGUAGGCAUAUGUUAAAAAUAUAAAUACGAAAACUACUGAAUGCUAUGUCAAAAGUAUAUUUGUAAAUGCCUUAUUGUGGCGUUUUCACAUUAUUCAAUUCUAUAUCUGUAAUGGCAGUGAAAAUUUUCGAUUAUUUAUAAAAAUAAACAGCAACAAAAUACAAAUUAAUGUAUUCGUAAAACGCGAAAGAAGUACAACUUCUUCGGUUUAUAUUCAUACGCCUGAAAGAACUUUUUCUUAUAAAAUCGUAUAUCAGUUACAUUUUGAUAUCGUAUCGCAUUAUGAGAAAACUAUUUUUAGAUUUUUUUUUAAAUUUUAUAUUAUAAACAGUAUUAUGUUUAAAAGAUGUAUAACAAUUUCAUAAAAAUGUAGGUGCCAUAAAGCAUCAAAUUUGCUAUGCGUUUUAAUUUUUUUUUAUAUAAAAGUGUUAAAAGCUUAAGCGAUUUGUUGAAUUAUAUUGAUCUAAUACAUUUAGCAUGCUUUGUCUAAACACAGUAUUUAUAAACAAUUCUAAAACAUAAAUAUAUAACUGUAGAAUCUCGGCAAAUCUAACUUGUAGAAACAAAAAACUUCGAGCUAAAAGUGAUUUCCGUAUUUUUAACCAGAAAUAAGCAUAGUGGUAAUAAGUCCCAGAACGAUCUCUGUCACAGCAUCCUUCUAAAUCUAUUUUAAUAUAUAAAUAUGAAAGGUCAUUCAUCACGAAAUCUCGAAAAUCGCUUGACGUAUGAAGAUGAAAUUUGGCAGAGAGGUAGCUUAUACUUAGUAGGUGUCCGCUAAGAACGGAUUUUGCGAUAGGGCCGGAUUAAGAAGGUCUAAGAGCAGACGAAGUUUUGAUAUAAGUAUCGACUUACCGAGGUUCUACAUUAUAUAGCUGACCAUAUUGUGAUUGUUCAUGUAUUAUUACGUUUUAUUUUAGCCCAUGUAUAUAGAUAUAUUAAUAUUAUAUGUAUAACAUAUUACAUUGUACUGUUAUAGUUUAUAAGUGAUUUUAAUUAUUAGUUGAUGACAUAUGACAAGUACUUAGAAUUUAAUCUAUUAUUCAUGUGUAACGGGAUUAUUUUACUUAUAAAACUUUGGUACUUUUAAUAGGCAUUAUGUCCCAUUUAUAUUUUUCUAUAAAUUCUAUUUAAGGCGAGUUCACAUUAUGUAACAUAAUAGAAUGUUAUAUUGUAUUUGUAUUGUGACCCUGGAUGAUAGACGAUUUAAAGGCAAAAUUUCGUGUGAAUUAUUUUCUCGUGGUCUGACUUUGGUAGUGGUUACCACCUCACCAGUAAAAUCAUAUCGCCAAGCGAUUUAACAUUCCGUUUUAAUGUGUAACCAAAGUCAAAUGAAAAUCGGUUUUAAUGGAAUCUGUAAUUAUGAAAGUCCAAAAGUGUUGUAGUUAAAUACUUAUCAGUUAAUUCGUUAGUAAUUUCUGUACGUAAUUUUGGAAACAGCAAUGUCUGGUGUAUUGUUAUACAGUGUAGACUCGCCUUAAAACAACUGUGCAAUAAACCUGUAGACAACCGUAUCCUCGUCUGCGUGACACAGAGGUGUGGGGAAUGACGACAAAGAGAAGCGGCAGGCGUAUUCGUAUAGAAACGACCUUCACCCAUCUGUUUAGUGUGGAUGAAAAGUGUUUUAUAUCAAAUUUAAUAUGUUAAAAAAUAUAUUACGAUAAGAUUGUAUAAAAAAUUCCUGGUUAAACUAUUAAUGACCAUUAUAAACCAUCAUUAAUGAUAGUUUGGCCAGGAGCUUUUCAUCCAAUAAACAGAUGAGUGAAGGUCGUUUUUAAUUCGGAUCGUCUAUUAUUAAGAGAAACGCGUCUCCCUAUUCUAUCGACAUACCUGCACCCCUGUAAUGCGCGAAAGAGGACUGAAUUUUGCGGUUUGUCUGUAAUUUACAUUUGAUGAAGGUAGCUUUGCAUGAUAUCAGAGACAUAGAUUACAAUAUUAUUUUUGCUUGUAACUAUUGUAAAUCUUCAAUGAAGAAGUAUUCUUUAUUCAAGAUUUGCUUUACUUAUUAUAAAGCACGACUCCUAAUUUGUGUCUUUUUUGUAGCUUCAAUAUUAUGUGAAACAAAGUGUUAUACAGUUACAACUGUCACCAUUGUGAAACUAACAUAACCGUUAGUUUCACAAUGGUGAAAAUCUGUUACAUUAUGUUGUUAUGUAACAAAUGGAAUGUAAUAUUGUUACAAAUGCAUAUUAAAGAUUUUGAUUGCCUAUUUUGAUCUGGCUUUUUUAAUGAAUUUUAUAGUAAUACAAUUGUUUGUUAUAUUUAUUUUACGUUAAUCAAAUGCGAGUUUAUAUUACAUGCGAUUUUACAUCAGUAAAAAAAUAAUUUGCUUCGUCUUUUUAAAAUAUAUAUCUAGAAAUGUACUCCUUAUAUUUUAAGCUUAUUUUCCUUAUAUUGUUGGUUAUUUGUCCAAAAUAGCUAAAUUAUCCAUAUAAACAUUAGAUAUUGCACUAAUAAAGUUCAUUUUUUAUUUAGUAAUUUUAAAAUACAUUCAUUGGAAAAAUAUGUAAUAAAAAUUAUUUUACACAGCCAUUCGCUGUGUAAAAUAACGAAAUUUUAUUCUCUUUAAUCUACGCAAACUGUUUGUUGGUUUGCUUACAGUUAUUAUUUUAAUUUCAAAAGCGUUUGGAAGUUAGACAGACUUUUGUAUAGAAUAAUACAUUAAAUACUUUAUUUCUAUUGAAAAUCCUACAUAACAUACAAAAUCAUGCAAGUCAGUAUAAAGAUCUCUCAGAAUGAUACACGAAAAACUCCUAGAAUUGCAAAUUUUCUUCGUUUGGAUGUUCGUUAUAUGUACCUACUCGUAUAUCACCAACAAAUGAUUAUCAGUAAUCACCACUAUCAUUACCGCAUUCCGGAAAAUCAGCAAAAGUUAGCAAAGUUUAAUUGGACUACAAAGUGGAAAAAAGUAAAUUUCGCAGUUUGUAUGAGUUUAAUAUGUAUUUUUAACUUUCCUAUGGUUUUAAUUUCAGGCAAUACUCUAUAAUCAUUAGUUGUGUAGCUAAAUUUUUGAAUUACGACCCCAAACCAUUAGAAAUUAGUCGGUCACUGUCCAACAAAAACACAAAUUGUCUGUUAUGGUUUUAUUCUCACCAACGGUCUGUCUAACAACCUUGUUUAUAUAUGUAGGGCAGCUUGUUAUAUACAGGAUGUCCCGUAAUUAAUGAAUACAACGCAAAUGGUGGAUACAUCACCUAAAUAUCUAAAACUAAUUUUCUACAGACUAUUCAAAUUAGUUUUAUAUAAAUUAGGUGGUGUGCCUACCAUUUGUGUUUUAUCCAUUACUUACAGGACAACCUGUAACCUGUAAGUUCAGAAAUGAUUUAAGUGAAAAAUAACAAUUCUAAAAUAUCAUUAAAGCAUAUUAUUAACGUAAAUAUUUAACUAGACAAGCAAUAACAAAAUAUAUCUAAUACUAUAAUGUGUAUGGAAGCGAGUGAUGUAUUUGUAAAACCUACUCAUUGGUUCGGUUUAAGCUUUUUGAGCCACGCUUACGCUGCGUCUUACGUCCGACCUUAUCUAGCAAGUUUCAUUAAUAACACUCCCACUGCGGGCGACGGGGGGAAAGACUGCGCGGAUGUGAAAUGCGUGCGUGCGGGUUAGUGAUGUGCAUCAGUCGUGGGGUUUUCAUUCAUCGCUACAUGCCGUCCGCCCCGCGCGGAACAUUGGAAGUGUUACGAAUGAAGUUGCCAAGCUAUAGGGUUGUUUGUGGUCGGGGGCAGGACACAAUAUAGAUGUUAACUUUGACAUUCAACGGAAUAUGGGAUUUUCAUCACAAUAAGGAAUAUGUUCCUAUACUGAUUAUAUCAAAAACUCUAUUUUAAAAAUAUUUAGCAAAGCUGAAUGUAUUACAAAAUAAUAAAUUACCACAAUUAUUUAGUUGACUGUUUGAUGAUAUGAAUAAAAAAAGCUAUUGAGUUACUAAAAUGCACUUGACUGGUGAGUAGGUAAUCUGAGGUCAUUUGUACAUUGCAACAAGCGAUGGGCUGCAAACUUUAAAUUAUUGUAGCCCAAUGAUACAAAAAUAAACUUGAGACAAUGAGAGUAAAGUAAGCCUGUCCGCCGGCCGUGACUUCUCCUGCCCAGGCUUUGGCUGAGUUUUUUACUUAAGUAAAAACCGCAGCCUCCGGCCGCGCGCAUUUUUACUCUCCAACCAUAACUAAGUUUCGCAACCUCCCAUUCAUCUAAUCGGCAUAUUCCUCCACGUCUCUAGUGAUUGUUAUUUCUGUAUCUUGUAACGUAUUAUAGGUUGUGCCAAAGUUCUAGGUCGCAUUCGUGAUGGACAUUUGGUGGCACCAUUAUUUUACAUUCAUUGAAUGUUCUGAAGUUUUUACCUCGCACUUUACCUUCAACGUUCGUUCGCAUAUCAGAAAAAUGUCAAUAAUUCUUGGUGCGUCAAAUGUGCAUUCUCCUUUUACAACACCACAGAAAACGAAGUUCCACCAAUGCGUAUAAUGCGUUCCAAUUUGCGUUUUGCGUCCAAUCACAAAGUCACUUUGGUCAAGACUCUGUGUUUGGUGAAAUACAAAUUAUAACGCAACCGUUGAUGUAACAUUGGAGUGGUUUUCUGUUUAUAACUCCACUAUCUAACUAAUGUAACAAUUAUUGUCAAACCUAAUGAUAUAUUAUAAAACCGCAUUUGUUGAUUUUGUAUUAUCUCAAUGUCUGGUGCUUAUCCUAGCUAAAAUGCGCAAUCCCUUGAUAAAAACCGUGGCUGUCGUUUUAUGUAAUAGCUUCUAUUAAUACAUUUUGCAAAUCGUCAAAAUUGUGUGCGUGAAUUGCAUAUAUUGCAUACGCAAGCUUUUGGAAUAUAAAAUAGAAGCUAAAGUUACUUAAGUUCCAAACGUAGAAUAAACAUUUUACUAUAAAUGUACUAAUAAUUACUACUUUACAUCAGUAAGCCGGAUACUGAACAAUAAGAGAUCAAAAUGUGAUGACUUCUAAAGCUGCUCUGGCUUUUUAGAAACUGAAGUAAAAGUUGUAAUGUGGGUCCCAUGGGUAUCAUGUUUUAGCUGAUAAUAUUAAAAAUUUCAUGUGCAUUGUACCUACAUUAUUGUUAAUUUUAGAUACAUGGCUAAUGUAUGCAUAAUUAUGAUUACAUCCAUUAUCAAGUUAGCAUUGGAAAGUUAAAUACUAUCGCAACUUGAGCCAGGAUAAGCAUUUAAUUAACCAAGGAUUUAACAUGAAAAAAUCCUUCCCGCCUUCUGAUAAGUGUCAAAUAAUCUAAUCGUAAGUUUUGUCAUAUUCUUACAUGUCAAAUGGCAAAGACAGAACUUGAAAAUACGCUAUUAUACAAUUAUCUGAAGAUGGUGAGACUGGCUUUAAAUCUAUAGGGCGGUUUAAAAAUCUUUAGGGUUGAUGGUUUUUAUGCCUAUAAAAUCUUUGCUCCUGAGUGCAGUAGAACUUUGGUGCGCCUCAAAAUGGCCUCAGAUAUGUAGAGUAUUGUGUCAUGUACAUUCCAGUUGCACAGUUAGUCUCACUUAGAAUAAUUAUGGAGUAAUUGUCGAGUGUUCGUGCGCGGGCUGUUUCACGUGUAAACUAUCACUAUGUAUAGGAUUCACUUAAAUAAAUUAAUUGUAUUACA